rnacentral:rRNA from 1 species
AUUCCAGCUCCAAUAGCGUAUAUUAAAGUUGCUGCGGUUAAAAAGCUCGUAGUUGGAUUUCAGUCUAGGAAGGUUAACUCGCCGAAAGGUUGUACGUUGAUUUUCCUCAGACUUCGUCAGAAUGUGUGGUACGAUGUUCUGACCUUUUACCUUGAGGAAAGUAGAGUGUUUCAGGCAGGCUACCCAGCUUGAAUACAUUAGCAUGGAAUAAUGAAAUGGAUCUCGGUUCGAUUUCGUUGGUUCUAGAGCUGAGGUGAUGAUCAAUAGGAACAGGCGAAGGUAUUCGUACUUGAGAGUGAGGAGUGAAAUCCGAUGAUCUCUUAAAGACGAUCCGAGGCGAAAGCAUUUGUCAAGGAUGUUUUCAUUA